UACGUAGGGUGCAAGCGUUGUCCGGAAUUAUUGGGCGUAAAGAGCUUGUAGGCGGUUUGUCGCGUCUGCUGUGAAAUUUCGGGGCUCAACCCCGAACUUGCAGUGGGUACGGGCAGACUAGAGUGUGGUAGGGGAGACUGGAAUUCCUGGUGUAGCGGUGAAAUGCGCCGAUAUCAGGAGGAACACCGAUGGCAAAGGCAGGUCUCUGGGCCAUAACUGACGCUGAGAAGCGAAAGCAUGGGGAGCGAACAGG
rnacentral:rRNA from 1 species